rnacentral:lncRNA from 1 species
UUGUGCUUCCCCCAUUUGUCUCCACCUAUUCCCACUAGUGGAAGACUCCACCUCAAACCGAGUCUUCUUCAUCUCAACUUCCAAAUGUGUACAUCUGUUAUGCCUUUCACAUUGUUGUUGGGUAUUGGGCUCCUUUCUUAUGUGGAGAAAAGCCAAAAGAUGUUAGUCCAUUAUGUCUCACUUAUAUAAGUGUAGAUAUGUCAUGUUAGGGUUCAAAAGAGUGUCUUUUUGGUGAGAAGAGUAUCCUCCAAAAGAGAGAAAAGAAGAGUGAAAGUCAAUUUCAUUUUUCUCAAGUUUUUGCCACUAAAUUAGCGAUUUUGAAUUCGUUAACCAUUGGCUAGGACUGGUUUUUAGAGAGAAGAUUCGCAGCACAUAGGUCUUCCUUUUCAUCGUUCGGUUUGUUGAAGCGUCUAAGUAGAGAUAUAUCUUUAUCGCAUUGAAGUAGUAUUUUUAGGUUUUUUUUUUUAUCUUUCUUGUUCCCCAUUGUAAGCUUUAAUCUCAUAAUUGGAGCCAAGGUGUGUCAAUUGAAGAAGGUCUUAUAUGUACUAAAGCAGUUGUCUCGUCUAUGUUUUGGAAGAUUCAAAAAGGCAAUGGUGUGAUUGGGCUAUAAGAAAAGCCAAUGAGAUCACACUUUGUUUUUCAUACAUGAGAUUAUACGAUUUGGAGACACUGCUCAAAGAGAAAUCAUCAUUAGAGUUUGAGAUGAAGGACCUUGAGCAACUCGAGUAUUUCUUGGGAAUUGAGGUAGCCUACUCAAAGCAAGAAAUUUUUCUCUCUCAAAGGAAGUAAGUGUUUGAGCUUUUACAGGAAAUAGGAAAAUCUGGAUGCAAACCUGCAAGUGUUCCCAUUGAGGAAAAUCACAUAAUUCGUUUUAGGAGGAAAGUGCCAAAGUUUAUAACGGUAAAUAUUAAAGAUUAGCGGGAAAACUGAUUUAUUUGGCACACACUAGACUGGAUUUUGUGGCGAUUCAAUUCAUGCAUGAUCCGAGGGGGGGACACAUUCAACCUAUAGACCAUGCUAUGCAAUAUCUGAAAGCCACUUCAAGGAGAUGACUCUUGUUUAAAAGAGGUUAAAGUUUAUCUAUAGAGGCUUACACUAAUGUUGAUUAUGCAGGUUCAUUGAGUGAUGGAAGAACGACUUUAGGUUGUUAUAUUAUCUUGUGUGGGAAACUUGUGGCUUGGAGGAUUAAGAAGCAAAGUGAAGUUGCUCGAUCAAACACUAAGGCAGAAUUUAGAGAUAUGACACUGGAAGUUUAUGAACUAUUGUGGAUGAAACUAGUACUAGAAGAUUUGAAGAUACGAUGUGAAGGCUCUAUGAAGUUGUUUUUUGACAAUAAAUAAGCCAUUAGCACUAAAUAUAGGGCUGGCAAUGAACCGAACCAACUCGAUUAUAGUUCGACAUUCGACUCGAUAUCUAAUCCGUUGAACUUGGUUCAUGAACCUAACGAGCUGGACUUGAGCUGAAAAUUAAGUUCGUUAAUUAAAUGAGCUGAACUUGAGCUACAUAUAGUUCGACUUGUUAGGCUCAUGAGAUGGCUCGAUUAUUGAUUAUAUAUAUAAAUCAAUUUGAGUUAGUUUUUAAAAAAAAAAUAAUUC